rnacentral:rRNA from 1 species
GUGGGGAAUUUUGGACAAUGGGCGCAAGCCUGAUCCAGCAAUGCCGCGUGCAGGAAGAAGGCCUUCGGGUUGUAAACUGCUUUUGUACGGAACGAAAAGGCUCUGGUUAAUACCUGGGGCUCAUGACGGUACCGUAAGAAUAAGCACCGGCUAACUACGUGCCAGCAGCCGCGGUAAUACGUAGGGUGCAAGCGUUAAUCGGAAUUACUGGGCGUAAAGCGUGCGCAGGCGGUUUUGUAAGACAGACGUGAAAUCCCCGGGCUCAACCUGGGAAUGGCGUGUGGGACUGCAAAGCUGGAGUGCGGCAGAGGGGGAUGGAAUUCCGCGUGUAGCAGUGAAAUGCGUAGAUAUGCGGAGGAACACCGAUGGCGAAGGCAAUCCCCUGGGCCUGCACUGACGCUCAUGCACGAAAGCGUGGGGAGCAAACAGGAUUAGAAACCCCAGUAGUCC